AAGCCCCGAGAGAGGCGGGGCGGGGAGGCGCCGGCCCUUUCCGCGCCGCGCUGCCCGCCGGGAGCUGUAGUCCUGCCGCCGCCGUGGCCGCCCCGUGGAGCAGGGCAGAGGGACUCGGUGUCCCGGCGCGCCGCGGGCCGUGGGCGGAGGCACUAAAUUUGCUGGGCAUUUGGAAAAGCGUAUUUAGAGUUGUUCCUGGGCCUACAUCAAAGACCUC
rnacentral:lncRNA from 1 species